GUGGGGAAUAUUCCGCAAUGGACGAAAGUCUGACGGAGCAACGCCGCGUGAGUGAUGAAGGUUUUCGGACUGUAAAGCUCUGUUGUUUAGGACGAAAGUGCCUGUUGCAAACAGUUACAGGUAUUGACGGUACUAAACGAGGAAGCCACGGCUAACUACGUGCCAGCAGCCGCGGUAAUACGUAGGUGGCAAGCGUUGUCCGGAAUUAUUGGGCGUAAAGAGCAUGUAGGCGGGAAUCUAAGUCUGUUGUGAAAAUGCGGGGCUCAACCCCGUAUUGCGAUGGAAACUGGGUUUCUUGAGUGCAGGAGAGGAAAGGGGAAUUCCCAGUGUAGCGGUGAAAUGCGUAGAUAUUGGGAGGAACACCAGUGGCGAAGGCGCCUUUCUGGACUGUGUCUGACGCUGAGAUGCGAAAGUCAGGGUAGCGAACGGGAUUAGAUACCCCGGUAGUCC
rnacentral:rRNA from 1 species